AUCGAGCCGCAGGGUGAGCCCGCUCUGGUGAAGGAGUGGAUCGAGGAGAACGGCCUGCGCUGUUCUUCAAUCACGUUCUGGUGAAGGAGUUGAUCGCCGGAGAACGACCUGCUCAAUCUUAUUGCUUUCAACUUGAUCAACGUCUGCCCUUUUAUUCGUGGAAGAAGCAGCCCCUGAGGAAGACCUGCUCUCCUUUUCAAUCUGAAGAAGAAGAAUCAGCCGGGGUUGUAUUUUGUCAAUUGAGAUGG